UUACAAUGGGUGCCACUGGA
rnacentral:siRNA from 1 species